AUUGAACGCUGGCGGCAUGCUUUACACAUGCAAGUCGAACGGUAACAGGUUAAGCUGACGAGUGGCGAACGGGUGAGUAAUGCAUCGGAACGUGCCCGAUCGUGGGGGAUAACACUUCGAAAGAAGUGCUAAUACCGCAUACGAUCUGAGGAUGAAAGCGGGGGACCGUAAGGCCUCGCGCGAUCGGAGCGGCCGAUGUCAGAUUAGGUAGUUGGUGGGGUAAAGGCUCACCAAGCCGACGAUCUGUAGCUGGUCUGAGAGGACGACCAGCCACACUGGGGCGGAGACACGGCCCAGACUCCAACGGGAGUCAGCAGUGGGGAAUUUUGGACAAUGGGCGCAAGCCUGAUCCAGCAAUGCCGCGUGCAGGAAGAAGGCCUUCGGGUUGUAAACUGCUUUUGUACGGAGCGAAAAGGCUCUCUCUAAUACAGGGGGCUCAUGACGGUACCGUAAGAAUAAGCACCGGCUAACUACGUGCCAGCAGCCGCCGUAA
rnacentral:rRNA from 1 species